ACGCCAGUGGUGUAAGGCGUAGCAUCGCUGUCCGAAAAGCAGAAGGUGCGGGUUCGAGUCCUGCCUAGUGCA
rfam:Heligmosomoides polygyrus genome assembly, scaffold: HPBE_scaffold0006087